rnacentral:rRNA from 1 species
AACGAACGCUGGCGGCAUGCCUAACACAUGCAAGUCGAACGGACGUAGCAAUACGUGAGUGGCGGACGGGUGAGUAACGCGUGGGAACCUGCCCGGAAGUGAGGAAUAACCGAGGGAAACUUCGGCUAAUACCGCAUAUGCCCUGAGGGGCAAAGGCUUCGGCCGCUUCCGGAGGGGCCCGCGUCCGAUUAGCUAGUUGGUGGGGUAACGGCCUACCAAGGCAGUGAUCGGUAGCUGGUCUGAGAGGACGAUCAGCCACACUGGGACUGAGACACGGCCCAGACUCCUACGGGAGGCAGCAGUGGGGAAUAUUGGACAAUGGGGGAAACCCUGAUCCAGCGAUGCCGCGUGAGUGAUGAAGGCCUUAGGGUUGUAAAGCUCUUUCGCCCACGACGAU